rnacentral:snRNA from 1 species
GUGCUCACUUCGGCAGCACAUAUACUAAAAUUGGAAUGAUACAGAGAAGAUUAGUAUGGCCCCUGCACAAGGAUGACAUGCAAAUUCGUGAAGCAUUCCAUAUUAAA